UACUGCGGAGGAUCAUUAUCGUAUACGAGAGGUGCCAGGGCUGUCGCUGACCUCCCAUUUCGAGGUCGUGCACGCCCCGAGCGUCCUCACACAUCCCACCACACAACCCCCCUUUGUGCAUCACCGCGUGGGUUCCAUUGGGUCGGUUCGAUCCAAGCGGGGCUUGCGCUUUUUACACAAACACACUUUGGAUGCAGUGUAGAAUGUCCUACCUUACUUUGCGGUUGUACGCAAUCAAUACAACUUUCAACAACGGAUCUCUUGGCUCUCGCAUCGAUGAAGAACGCAGCGAAAUGCGAUACGUAAUGUGAAUUGCAGAAUUCAGUGAAUCAUCGAAUCUUUGAACGCACAUUGCGCCCCUUGGUAUUCCGAGGGGCAUGCCUGUUCGAGCGUCAUUAUAACCACUCAAGCUUCGGCUUGGUCUUGGGGUUCGCGGUCUCGCGUCCCUUAAAAUCAGUGGCGGUGCCGUCUGGCUCUAAGCGUAGUAAUUCUCUCGCUAUAGGGUCCCGGUGGUUGCCUGCCAGAACCCCCCAUUUUUUACGGUUGACCUCGGAUCAGGUAGGGAUACCCGCUGAACUUAAGCAUAUCAUA
rnacentral:rRNA from 1 species